rnacentral:lncRNA from 1 species
GACCGCUUACUUUGCUUACUCGUUUUCUAUUCCUCGCGUACUGCCUCGUCCACCACUCCAGGACCAAAAGAGGAAGAUAGUCUUGGGACCCUUGCAUGGUGUUUCAAAGGGUGGUGAAGAACUAAGGAAACCGUCUUUAAGGUUUUCUCCGUAAAGAAAGUACCAGUAUACUCUUUCAUGGUCAAGUACAGAUUGUGGAACUGAUAACUUUUAAGAUAUCUUCUUGAAGCCCUGCAUCCUCCCAUUCUAAUUUGAACUGUUAGCUUCCCAUCACUGUCAUCUCGGGUAGAAGAAUACAUGUUCACUUCCAGUGAACAAGAGCAUGUUCCCAAACUCAAUUUUGGGUCGCCCACCCUUCACUCCAAAUCAUCAACAACAUAAUAACUUCUUUACCCUGUCACCUACUGUUUAUUCACACCAGCAGCUUAUAGAUGCACAAUUCAACUUUCAGAAUGCAGACUUGUCUAGAGCUGUGUCAUUACAGCAGCUGACAUAUGGAAAUGUCAGUCCAAUACAGACCUCAGCUUCCCCAUUAUUUCGAGGAAGGAAGAGAUUAAGCGAUGAAAAAAACCUUCCUCUUGACGGUAAACGGCAACGUUUCCAUUCACCCCACCAAGAGCCAACUGUAGUUAACCAGAUAGUGCCUUUAUCAGGUGAACGAAGAUACUCAAUGCCACCAUUGUUUCAUACACAUUAUGUACCAGAUAUAGUCAGAUGUGUUCCACCUUUUCGAGAAAUUGCAUUUUUAGAACCUAGAGAAAUCACACUGCCUGAGGCCAAAGAUAAGUUGAGUCAGCAGAUACUGGAGUUAUUUGAAACAUGUCAGCAGCA